UCGAGAAUAUUCGACAAUGGGCGAAAGCCUGAUCGAGCGACGCCGCGUGCGGGAAGAAGGCCUUCGGGUCGUAAACCGCUUUUGCGUGGGAAGAAUUUUGACGGUACCACGAGAAUAAGGGGUUGCUAACUCUGUGCCAGCAGCAGCGGUAAUACAGAGACCCCAAGCAUUAUCCGGAAUUACUGGGCGUAAAGCGCGAGCAGCCGGUUGUAUUAGUCUGAUGUAAAACCAUGGGGCCCAACUCCAUGACCGCAUUGGAAACGGUACGACUCGAGUGAAUAAGAGGAGGGCAGAACAUAUGGUGUAGGGGUGAAAUCCACUGAUAUCAUAUGGAAUACCAAAAGCGAAGGCAGCCCUCUAGUGUUCUACUGACGGUCAAUCGCGAAAGCGUGGGGAUCAAAAAGG
rnacentral:rRNA from 1 species